rnacentral:rRNA from 1 species
AGCGAACGCUGGCGGCAGGCCUAACACAUGCAAGUCGAACGAACCUUUCGGGGUUAGUGUCGGACGGGUGAGUAACACGUGGGAACGUUCCUUUAGGUUCGGAAUACCUCAGGGAAACUUGUGCUAAUACCGAAUGUGCCCUUCGGGGGAAAGAUUUAUCGCCUUUAGAGCGGCCCGCGUCUGAUUAGCUAGUUGGUUGAGGUAAUGGCUCACCAACGCGACGAUCAGUAGCUGGUCUGGGAGGAUGAUCAGCCACAUUGGGACUGAGACACGGCCCAAACUCCUACGGGAGGCAGCAGUGGGGAAUCGUGCGAAAUGGGCGAAAGCCUGACGCAGCCAUGACGCGUGAAUGAUGAAGGUCUUAGGAUUGUAAAAUUCUUUCAACGGGGACGAUAAUGACGGUACCCGGAGAAGAAGCCCCGGCUAACUUCGUG